rnacentral:miRNA from 1 species
AUAAUUAUCUGUAACUCCAGUUCUGCGGACUCCUUGGUUACUGUGCACAUGAUGCACAUACACACAUGCAGACAAAACACAAACAGAUAAAAUACAAAAAUAAACCUUU